AUGGACUGGGCCUGGAGAAUUUUCUUCCUGAUGGCAGUGGCUGCAGGUAUGAACUCCCAGGUGCAGCUGGUGCAGUCGAAGGCUGAGGUGGGAAAACCUGGGACAUCAGUGAAGAUCUCCUGCAAGGCUUCUGGAUACACCUUCACCAGCUACUGGAUGUACUGGGUGCGGCAGGCCCCGGGACAAGGACUCGAGUGGAUGGGGAACUUAAACCCUAACACUGGUGGUACAAACUAUGCAUCGAAGUUCCAGGGCCAACUCACACUCACUACAGACAAGUCCAAGGACACAGCCUACAUGGAACUGAGCAGGCUGAGCACUGACGACACGGCUGUGUAUUACUGUACAAGUGACACAAUGUGA